ACUGAAGGUCCUGGGAAAGGCUGUAGGACCAUGCAAACCAGCUGGGCCCUUUCCAGACAGACGCAAAUCUCUUCUUGGGUAUAAAAAUGGUCAAUACAUCCCAGCCACCAGUAGCUGGAAUCCGAAAGGGAAACCAUAGUUUCUCCCUUCUCAGAAUCCUGCGCAAUCUGUGAUUUCUAAUUACAAGGAGUCUUGAAAAUAGCUACUCUAUGUUGUCUUCAGAAAUCAGAUUCUAUGUGGAGGACGAAGACUUACUGACUCUUAUGUGGGGUUUUAAAGCCACUUGGAACCAGAAAUAAAAAAAGGAUCA